rnacentral:tRNA from 1 species
GAGGGUAUAGCUCAGUGAUAGAGCGUGUGCUUAACAUGCACGAGGUUCUGGGUUCAAUCUCCAGUGCCUCCA